ACACAAAAAACCAUGCCAAAAAUCACAAGGUAGUGGAAUUAGCGCAUUCGGACAACAUUUCCCUAUUUCCCCAAUUCCUCUUCGUAUUCGUCUUCGUGCUGCUCAGUGUUCUCCCACCACCACUCCCUCCCUCUACUCAUUCGAAUCUCUCUCUAUUCACCCAGUCUCGACAAAUGGAAGGAAGAAGGCCUCAGUUUGCUUCUGUUUUCUCUUGCCAUUUAGGUUCCCUGAUCCAUCUUCAUUAAACACAAU